rnacentral:rRNA from 1 species
GUCCUCUUGUUUAUAUAUGAGGUCUGACCUGCCCGGUGAAAUUUGUUUUAACGGCCGCAGUAUUUUGACUGUGCAAAGGUAGCAUAAUCAUUAGUCUUUUAAUAGGGGGCUGGUAUGAAGGGUUUGACGAGGUGUUUACUGUCUCAUUUAAUUUGUGUUUAGAAUUUAACUUUUCAGUUAAAAGGCUGAAAUUGUAUUGGAAGACGAGAAGACCCUAUAGAGCUUUAUAAUUAAAAUUUUAAUUAUUUUUUGUUUAUUAUUUUUUAUUAUUAUUUUAAUUAUUUUGUUGGGGUGACAAAAAUAUAUAAUUAACUUUUUUAUUUAAUUAACAUUGAUUUAUGAUUAUUAGAUCCAUUAUUAGUGAUUGUUAGAUUAAGUUACCUUAGGGAUAACAGCGUAAUCUUCCUUCAGAGUUCAUAUUUACGGGAAGGCUUGCGACCUCGAUGUUGGAUUAAGAUAAUAAUUAGGUGUAGCCGCUUAAUAUAUAGGUCUGUUCGACCUUUAAAUUCUU